CCUACGUGAGGCAGCAGUGAGGAAUAUUGGUCAAUGGGCGCGAGCCUGAACCAGCCAAGUAGCGUGAAGGAUGACUGCCCUACGGGUUGUAAACUUCUUUUAUAAAGGAAUAAAGUGAGGCACGUGUGCCUUUUUGUAUGUACUUUCUGAAUAAGUAUCGGCUAACUCCGUGCCAGCAGCCGCGGUAAUACGGAGGAUCCGAGCGUUAUCCGGAUUUAUUGGGUUUAAAGGGAGCGUAGAUGGGUUGUUAAGUCAGUUGUGAAAGUUUGCGGCUCAACCGUAAAAUUGCAAUUGAUACUGGCAGUCUUGAGUACAGUUGAGGUAGGCGGAAUUCGUGGUGUAGCGGUGAAAUGCUUAGAUAUCACGAAGAACUCCGAUUGCGAAGGCAGCUUACUAAACUGCCACUGACAUUGAUGCUCGAAAGUGUGGGUAUCAAACAGGAUUAGAUACCCGUGUAGUC
rnacentral:rRNA from 1 species